UGGAAUUUCAGAGUUCUAAAAUGAACCUAAAAAGUUACUUCAGCAUCCUUAGAAAUAAGUUGUUAAGGCAUGAACAUUUGAGUUCAUCCAAAGUGUUAUCAAAAGGUCUCAUCAAAUUAUUUUAUGUAGAAGAGCACCCAAAUGUUAUUUCUUGCUGUUCCUCUUCUUUUCCUCAAGAGAAAGAAGGUUGAAAACUGAAAAUGAUGAAGUUGAAGAAUGAAGUCAAUGAGUGUUAAGAAGAGAUUCAUUUAUCCUUGAAAAAUGAAAAAGUAGAGUGCUGGUGGUGAUCAUGUCUUCCCUUCACCCAUGGGGACUUUUCAUUUAUCGCUGCCACUCCAGCAUGUUCACUAUUCUCUGUAGCAUGAAAAUCUGAUAAAGCUCAUGAGGGGAGAGAAAACUUAACUUCAAUAUUUUCCUGCUGAGCCUGAGAGUGCUUUGUAUACCCUAGCAAGAUGAAAAUCUUAGCUGCAGCAUCAGGAAGAGGACACCUCACUUUAUCCUACAUUCCUAUCUCAGUCAGGAAAGUAGCUCUAGAGAAGGAACUAAGAAGUCAAGCUGUCCUGCUGUAUUAGUUGUUUACCCCACCUCCCUGAAGCAAGAGGAAAUUUUGCCAGCAGACUGCCUUCUGUCUUGAACUGCAAAAUCAGCUCUUCCCUAGGCCUGUCCCCAGGCCCUUCCUGACUGCUAGCAGACUGGAACUACAGAUUUUGGACUUGUCAACCUCCAUAGUUG
rnacentral:lncRNA from 1 species